GGGAAAAGUUAAACUCGAUCUACCGUACUGUCAACUCGAUCCUACAUGUAUACGUAUACCUAUGAAUCUUUUAUUUUCUUAUCGCUGUCAAUCUGUCAUUCUCAUUCAUUUAAAUUUCGUGCGAUGAUCGCGACUGUCACCGAGGGAACCUCCUUCAGGGAUUUCACCAAGGAAAAAGAAUGGUCAUGAUUGCAUCGGAUGGACCAGUUCCCCAGGCGUCCGUAACAAAAUUUGCGGCUUAUUGGGAUACAUUCCCAAUAAGACGCAAAAAUAAAAAGGAACUUUUUUGGGUCGCCUGGGAACUAGAGUCGUUUCUCAUUUGCAACAGGCCAUUGCUCAGGAGAAGAAAAAAGUAUAGACACAGUGGUGUCGGAACUGAGUGAAUGAUUAGGUUGCAAAUUAGGAGUGGCAAGGAACCAUGUGGGGAAAAACCCACGUUCAAAGCCGGGCAAAAAAAAAAAAAAUGUAUUUACUAAGUACAUGUUAGUUCAAGAACCAUCGAUGCCUUUCUUCCAGCUUAGUACACUCGUGAAGCAAGAUUUGGUAUGCAAUUGUGUCGUUUAUUCGCCCUUGAACUUCCCUGUGAAUCUUGAAAAGAGAGGAUAGUUUUAUUUCACGACCGGAGAAGUAUUAGUGGUGUCGUGUUGAGUAUCUUUCACUCCAUCACAGCAUUGAAUUUUUGCGUGAGCGGAUUUGAAUGCAAAGUGCAUUUUGUUUAUUGUGAACGAAUUCAUGGGAUAAAUAAGAUCAGCGAUGAAUAUUACCUGUCCCAGAGGGGUGUAUCUGAUCACUUUAUUAGAAGUCGCGUUAUAGUUACAGUGAAGAUAAGUAGCUUAUAUGUAUAUAAUCUCUUUCCUCAUUAAUACUUUUCUUUUUUUUUUUCGGAUUACCUGUUGUCAAAGGAUUAUGGAGUGUUAUACAGGCGAACGGCAAUAGUGAAGCACGAUUGGGAACAACUUGAUUUUAUCAACGAAUUUAAUAAUUAGGAUUCACUUAAUAUCCAUGGUGAGUGGUUUGAUUAUUUUGAUAUUUGAAGUAUGAAAAGAGCUUGUUAUUAAACUAUGUAUAUAAAGAGCAUGCAAAAAAAAAAGGUUUAAUAAAUAAUAAAUAAAUAAAUAGAGAAUUGUAUAAAUAAAACUUAAGUCUAGUAUCACAGUAGAAUAAAUAAACGAGAUAAUAAAACGUAAAAUAAGUAAAUAUCACAGAUUCAAUAAAAAAUUAAAAUUGUUCUAACUAAAAUUAAAAACAAUUAAGCUAAAAGUAAAUUAUUAAAAGUUAGUUAGUUAUCAGUCUUUAAAAAAUAAAUAAAUUUUUGUUAAAAUAUCACAGAUUAUUAAAAGUUAACUAGAAUAUCAGUAUUAAAAAAAGUAUAAAAUUAUUAAAAUAUCACAGAUUAAAAAAAUUAAAAAUAUCAGUCUUUCCAAAAAUUAAAAUUCAUAAAAUAUUACAGUUAGCUUCUUAGAGUUAGUACCUAAGUAAAUAAAUUCAGUUAAAAUCAAUAAGUAAAUUAAAUAAAUAACAUUUAGUAACAUUGAAAACACUAUUUUUAAGCAUGUAUU